ACACGUAAGGGGCAAGCGUUGUUCGGAAUUAUUGGGCGUAAAGGGCGCGUAGGCGGACCUGCAAGCCCGGCGUGAAAUCCUGGAGCUUAACUCCGGAACUGCGCUGGGAACUGCGGGACUAGAGUCAUGGAGGGGAGUUGGAAUUCCAGGUGUAGGGGUGAAAUCUGUAGAUAUCUGGAAGAACACCGGUGGCGAAGGCGAACUUCUAGCCAAUGACUGACGCUGAGGCGCGAAAGUGCGGGGAGC
rnacentral:rRNA from 1 species